rnacentral:rRNA from 1 species
AACGAACGCUGGCGGCGUGGAUAAGACAUGCAAGUCGAACGAGAGAAUUGCUAGCUUGCUAAUAAUUCUCUAGUGGCGCACGGGUGAGUAACACGUGAGUAACCUGCCCCCGAGAGCGGGAUAGCCCUGGGAAACUGGGAUUAAUACCGCAUAGUAUCGAAAGAUUAAAGCAGCAAUGCGCUUGGGGAUGGGCUCGCGGCCUAUUAGUUAGUUGGUGAGGUAACGGCUCACCAAGGCGAUGACGGGUAGCCGGUCUGAGAGGAUGUCCGGCCACACUGGAACUGAGACACGGUCCAGACACCUACGGGUGGCAGCAGUCGAGAAUCAUUCACAAUGGGGGAAACCCCGAUGGUGUGACGCCGCGUGGGGGAAUGAAGGUCUUCGGAUUGUAAACCCCUGUCAUGUGGGAGCAAAUUAAAAAGAUAGUACCACAAGAGGAAGAGACGGCUAACUCUGUGCCAGCAGCCGCGGUAAUACAGAGGUCUCAAGCGUUGUUCGGAAUCACUGGGCGUAAAGCGUGCGUAGGCUGUUUCGUAAGUCGUGUGUGAAAGGCGCGGGCUCAACCCGCGGACGGCACAUGAUACUGCGAGACUAGAGUAAUGGAGGGGGAACCGGAAUUCUCGGUGUAGCAGUGAAAUGCGUAGAUAUCGAGAGGAACACUCGUGGCGAAGGCGGGUUCCUGGACAUUAACUGACGCUGAGGCACGAAGGCCAGGGGAGCGAAAGGGAUUAGAUACCCCUGUAGUCCUGGCAGUAAACGGUGCACGCUUGGUGUGCGGGGAAUCGACCCCCUGCGUGCCGGAGCUAACGCGUUAAGCGUGCCGCCUGGGGAGUACGGUCGCAAGAUUAAAACUCAAAGAAAUUGACGGGGACCCGCACAAGCGGUGGAGUAUGUGGCUUAAUUCGAUGCAACGCGAAGAACCUUACCUGGGCUUGACAUGUAAUGAACAACAUGUGAAAGCAUGCGACUCUUCGGAGGCGUUACACAGGUGCUGCAUGGCCGUCGUCAGCUCGUGUCGUGAGAUGUUUGGUUAAGUCCAGCAACGAGCGCAACCCCUGUUGCCAGUUACCAGCACGUGAAGGUGGGGACUCUGGCGAGACUGCCCAGAUCAACUGGGAGGAAGGUGGGGACGACGUCAGGUCAGUAUGGCCCUUAUGCCCAGGGCUGCACACGUACUACAAUGCCCAGUACAGAGGGGGCCGAAGCCGCGAGGCGGAGGAAAUCCUGAAAACUGGGCCCAGUUCGGACUGUAGGCUGCAACCCGCCUACACGAAGCCGGAAUCGCUAGUAAUGGCGCAUCAGCUACGGCGCCGUGAAAUACGUUCCCGGGUUCUU